rnacentral:rRNA from 1 species
UACAGAGGUCCCAAGCGUUGUUCGGAUUCAUUGGGCGUAAAGGGUGCGUAGGCGGCGCGGUAAGUCGGGUGUGAAAUCUCGGAGCUUAACUCCGAAACUGCAUUCGAUACUGGCGAUCUCGAGUUCGGGAGAGGUGAGUGGAACUGCGAGUGUAGAGGUGAAAUUCGGUAGAUAUUCGCAAGAACACCAGUGGCGAAGGCGGCUCACUGGCCCGAUACUGA